GCCAGGUAUGGUGGUGCAUGCCUGUAGUCCCAGCUGCUCCAGAGGCUGAAGCUGGAGGAUCGCUUGAGUCCAAGAGUUCUGGACUAUAGUGCGCUAUGCCGAUCGGGUUUCUGCACUAAAUUUGGCAUCAAUUCGGUGACCUCCUGGGAGCAGGAGACCACAAAGUUGCCUAAGGAGGGGUGAACCAGCCCAGAUCAGAAACGGAGCAGGUCAAAACUCUUGUGCUGAUCAGUAGUGGGAUAGCACCUGUGAACAGCCGCUGCACUCUAGCCUGAGCAACAUAGUGAGACCACCGUCU
rnacentral:SRP_RNA from 1 species